rnacentral:tRNA from 1 species
GGAGAAGUGGCAGAGUGGCCGAAUGUACCGCACUCGAAAUGUGGCAUACGGGCAACCGUAUUGGGAGUUCGAAUCUCCCCCUCUCCGCCA